rnacentral:rRNA from 1 species
GGAAUAUUGGACAAUGGGCGCAAGCCUGAUCCAGCCAUGCCGCGUGCAGGAUGACGGUCCUAUGGAUUGUAAACUGCUUUUAUACAGGAAGAAACACUGGUUCGUGAACCAGCUUGACGGUACUGUAAGAAUAAGGAUCGGCUAACUCCGUGCCAGCAGCCGCGGUAAUACGGAGGAUCCAAGCGUUAUCCGGAAUCAUUGGGUUUAAAGGGUCCGUAGGCGGUUUAAUAAGUCAGUGGUGAAAGCCCAUCGCUCAACGGUGGAACGGCCAUUGAUACUGUUAAACUUGAAUUAUUAGGAAGUAACUAGAAUAUGUAGUGUAGCGGUGAAAUGCUUAGAGAUUACAUGGGAUACCAAUUGCGAAGGCAGGUUACUACUAAUGGAUUGACGCUCAGGUGCGAAAGCGUGGGGAGCAAACAGGAUUAGAUACCCUUG